rnacentral:rRNA from 1 species
UGCAAGUACGAGCGGAGUGAGAGAGCUUGUCUCUCUGAUUCAGCGGCGGACGGGUGAGUAAUGCCUAGGAAUCUGCCUGGUAGUGGGGGGACAACGUUUUCGAAAGGGAACGCUAAAUACCGCAUACGUCCUACGGGAGAAAGUGGGGGAUCUUCGGACCUCACGCUAUCAGAUGAGCCUAGGUCGGAUUAGCUAGUUGGUGGGGUAACGGCUCACCAAGGCGACGAUCCGUAACUGGUCUGAGAGGAUGAUCAGUCACACUGGAACUGAGACACGGUCCAGACUCCUACGGGAGGCAGCAGUGGGGAAUAUUGGACAAUGGGCGAAAGCCUGAUCCAGCCAUGCCGCGUGUGUGAAGAAGGCCCUCGGGUCGUAAAGCACUUUAAGCUGGGAGGAAGGGUUGUAACCUAAUACGUUGCAGCUUUGACGUUACCAGCAGAAUAAGCACCGGCUAACUCUGUG